GCGAACGGGUGAGUAACACGUGGGUGAUCUGCCCUGCACUCUGGGAUAAGCCUGGGAAACUGGGUCUAAUACCGGAUAGGACCAUGCUUUAGUGUGUGUGGUGGAAAGUUUUUUCGGUGUAGGAUGAGCCCGCGGCCUAUCAGCUUGUUGGUGGGGUAAUGGCCUACCAAGGCGGCGACGGGUAGCCGGACUGAGAGGUUGGUCGGCCACAUUGGGACUGAGAUACGGCCCAG
rnacentral:rRNA from 1 species